GACCCUGAGAAGAACAGAUACAGAUAUGCAUUAGCUACUGGAAUCUAACCAAGAAUAUGUCCUUGCAUUUCUACUAAAUUUUCUGUCAAGUCAGUUUAUGUCAUAUUCCACAAACCCAUCUAAUAUCAAUAUAAAAGUGCGUAAGUAAAUGAAGUGCGAAGUAAAAUGAUCGAUUAUUGUCAUCGAUGAUUGUUGUCGAAAAUAUAUCGUAAAAUUAUAAAAUUUCAAAUUUCUAGUUUUUAUGGCUUAGAUCUCAAUUAUCAAUAGAUAAUCCGUAUGGAGCCUAUCCCGCGCUUUUUUGCAGGCUACAAACACUAUCGCUAAAAUAUUGAAUAAACAAUGGGCGUGCAAAAUUUCAACGUAUAUGUUCCAAAUUUCAAGCCUAAGGUUUCCGUCAUGCGCACAGACGGACGGAGAGCAAUCAUUGCACGAAAGUAAGUAUAAAAACAAUCAAAUUUAAUCACGAGUUGUACAAUAUAUAUGGUACCUGGCUUCAAGGUUUUGAUUGCCACGUCAAUGUCCUGGACAAAAUUUGGAGGAAUUUUAAGACGACCACGGCACACAUCUCCGAAUUCUCCACCACCUAAAUAAAUAAAUAUGUUUUUUGAAUGAAA